rnacentral:ncRNA from 1 species
AAAUUCUUCGACAAGUGAAAAAAGGUAAUUUCUAUUGAAAUAAUAUAGAAAUUACUUUUUUAGUAUUUUAAAUGUAAAGUUACUUAUAAAUACGUAGUAUUUAUGGCAAGACUCCUGAGGGAACAGUACUAGUUGAAGACCUUACAAAUUCUCACAGAUUUAUCUGUGUAGUAUUUCUGGCUGAAACUGUACCCUCGGAAUGCGAAGCCAUACAAUACGAAGUAUUGGGUAUAAAGAAAGCACUAA